rnacentral:rRNA from 1 species
AGAGUUUUGAUCCUGGCUCAGGACGAACGCUGGCGGCGUGCUUAACACAUGCAAGUCGAACGAGACGAUUAAAAGCCUGCUUUUGAAAGUCGAGUGGCAAACGGGUGAGUAACGCGUAGACAACCUGCCGUAAAGAUGGGGACAACAGUCCGAAAGGACUGCUAAUACCGAAUGUUGUGGAACUUCUGCAUGGGAGCUCUACUAAAGAUGGCCUCUACUUGUAAGCUAUCGCUUUACGAUGGGNCUGCGUCUGAUNAGCUAGUUGGUGGGGUAACGGCUUACCUAGGCGACUAUCAGUAGCCGGUCUGAGAGGAUGAACGGCCACANUGNANCUGAGACACGGCCCAGACUCUACGGGAGGCAGCAGUGGGGAUCUUCCGCAAUGNNGANGUCUGACGAGCANC